rnacentral:rRNA from 1 species
CCUACGGGAGGCAGCAGUAAGGAAUAUUGGACAAUGGCCGCAAGGCUGAUCCAGCCAUCCAGCGUGCAGGAAGAAGGCCCUAUGGGUUGUAAACUGCUUUUAUCAGGGAAUAAACCUCUUUAUUUAUAGAGAGCUGAAGGUACCUGAAGAAUAAGCACCGGCUAACUCCGUGCCAGCAGCCGCGGUAAUACGGAGGGUGCGAGCGUUAUCCGGAAUUACUGGGUUUAAAGGGUGCGUAGGCGGCUUUGUAAGUCAGGAGUGAAAGUUUGCGGCUCAACCGUAAAAUUGCUUCUGAUACUGCAUAGCUAGAAUUAGGAUGAGGUCAGCGGAAUGUGGCAUGUAGCGGUGAAAUGCAUAGAUAUGCCAUAGAACACCAAUUGCGAAGGCAGCUGACUAGACCUGGAUUGACGCUGAGGCACGAAAGCGUGGGGAGCGAACAGGAUUAGAUACCCUGGUAGUCCACGCCCUAAACGAUGCUUACUCGACGUAUGGCACUAGAUGUUGUGCGUCCAAGGGAAACCGUUAAGUAAGCCACCUGGGGAGUACGACCGCAAGGUUGAAACUCAAAGGAAUUGACGG